rnacentral:tRNA from 1 species
GGCAGCAUGGCCUAGUGUAAAGAGCACUAGACUGGGAGUCAGGAGGCCUGGGUUCUAGUCCCAGCUCUGUUG